rnacentral:lncRNA from 1 species
AGGGGCAUAACUCACCUGGGCAAAGGCAGAGUCCCCUGUCUCCUAGUAAGAUGCCUUGCUGCAGUCUUUUCCGAUUUGCCUCUACAUGCAUCAUUCCAUUUGGGCCUCACCAAAAGCCUCUGAGCUGGCUGAGUUCAUUAUUUUCAUUUGACAGAAGAAGACACAGAAGCUCAGAGGAGUGGGACCCUGGCUAGUCGUCCAGCCAUCAAAGCGCUGCUGUGGGGGCCAGUCGCAGGUCAGGAAGCACAGAUCUUUGGACUCCAAAUCCUUCUGGCUUUGCACUAGACCUGGCUUUGCUGAAGGCCAGUCCCCAGGGAGGGAAACCUGGAGAGCCUUUGCAGCCAGUAAUAUCUGAUUCUCCAUUCAUUUACCAGGCUCUCUGCCCGGACCUCCACUGGAGACUGUGCAAGGUGCACAAAAACAUGAGCCGUGCAUGUCAGACCCGUGACCACUACAAGAAGAUGGCCUGAGACUGGCCCAGGAAUUGAAGAAAGACACUUUCAGUUUUGAGAGAGAGAGAGAGAGAUCCUCUUCUAUGAGAAAAUGGCCUGGGAAGGCUGGACGGCUACGGAGCCUACUGAGAGAGGGCUACAGGAGUUCUAGAAAGAAAAUGACAACAGGCAGAAGCUGGCUAACUUCUCCCUGUACAUCAUGGCUGUCAGAGCACUGCUCUUCAAACAUUCUUUUGCUUGUUUGCAAGUCGGGAGUCCUGGAAUCUUCCUGAAGACAGAAUCUGUCUUUUCUGUAUUUGUAUCUCCAGUGGCUGCUACAUGGUAGGUGUGCAUUAGACAUGUGAUUGUUGCACAAACCACCAUCUCAAGAUUCAUCUUUUUCAUUUGAUUAUCUGAAUGCUUUGUACUUAGGGCAUCUGAGCAAACGCUCCAUGACUCAGUCUCCUCUUCUAAAAAGUAGGGGUUUGGCCAGGCAUGGUGGCUCACGCCUGUAACCCCAGCACUUUGGGAGGCCAGUGUGAGUGGAUAACCUGAGAUCAGGAGUUCGAGACAAGUCUGAUCAACAUGGUAAAACCCUGUCUCUGCUAGAAAUACAAAAAUUAGCCAGGUGUGGUGGUGGGUGCCUGUAAUUCCAGCUGCUCGGGAGGCUGAGGCAGGAGAAUCACUUGAACCUGGGAGGCAGAGGUUGCAGUGAGCUGAGAUUGCACCACUGCACUCCAACCUGCGUGACAGAGCAAGACUCCCUCUCAAGAAAUAAAUAAAUAAAAAGAAAAGAAAAAGUGGAGUUUCAUAGGACCCUUCCAGUGGGAGGCUAAACAGAGGCAUACAGAACAAUGUGGGUGCCUGGGUGAGACAAAUCAGGGACUCCUGGAAGAGGGAUGUUUCACAGCCAUAGGAACUAAAACAGGAGGAAGGUGUGCAAACUUCCAGGUGCAUGGAAGAGUUUCUUGUCUCCUCCAUCAAGAUGGGAUUUCUCAGUCUUAAAUAGGCAUAGGAUUCACCUAGGAAUCUUGUUAAAAUGCAAAUUAUGAUUGGGUAUGUCUGAGGGGGGCAACUAAAAAUUAGAACCUCCCUGGCAGACAAUUCUAAUUUUUACUGUCUCCUACGACUUUGCAACUCCAAGUGUGGUCCGCAGACCAGCAGCACCAGCAUCUUCUGGGAACUUGUUAGAAAUGCAAAUAUUUCAAGCUAGCUCUGGCCAGUGAGAAGUAGGUGGGGCACCCUGGAGCACAUCAUAAGACAGUAGCCCUGGAAAUUUUGCCACUUCCCUCUGUUUCCCGCCUGAAAUUCAGCUGUGAUGCCUGAGGUACAGCAGCUG